rnacentral:rRNA from 1 species
CUUUCUCCGCCGGCGACCGGCGCACGGGGUGAGUAACACGUAUGCAACCUGCCCCUGUCAGGGGGACAACCCGCCGAAAGGCGGGCUAAACCCGCGUACAUGCCACCGGGCAUCCCGGAGGCAGGAAAGGCUUCGGCCGGACAGGGAUGGGCAUGUGGCGCAUUAGGCAGUAGGCGGGGUAACGGCCCACCUAACCGACGAUGCGUAGGGGUUCUGAGAGGAAGGUCCCCCACACUGGUACUGAGACACGGACCAGACUCCUACGGGAGGCAGCAG